AUGGUAAAACGAGGGCUUAGCUGUCUUCUUUUUUAUGUCAAUGAAAUUGAUUUUCUCGUGCAAAAGCGAGGAUAACCUCAUAAGACGAGAAGACCCUGUGAAGCUUUAGAUAAUAUACAGAUUUGGUCAAGGACCCCCUGAUAAGGAAUUUAGUUACUGACUUCUGUUUUAUUGUCUUCGGUUGGGGCGACCACGGGGAGUCAUACAACCCCCGCGUGGAAUGGGUACAAGAGUAUUUUUGUCCUUAGAAUUAAGAGCUUCUGCUCUAAAAAACAGAAUUUCUGACCUUGUAAGAUCCGGCAGUGCCGAUUAACGGACCAAGUUACUCCAGGGAUAACAGCGCCAUCCUCUUUCAGAGUUCUUAUCGACAAGGGGGUUUACGACCUCGAUGUUGGAUCAGGACAUCCUAAUGGUGCAGUCGCUAUUAAGGGUUCGUUUGUUCAACGAUUAAUAGUCCUACGUGAUCU
rnacentral:rRNA from 1 species